rnacentral:rRNA from 1 species
AUGGCGACCGGCGCACGGGUGCGUAACGCGUAUGCAACCUACCUGUAACAGGGGGAUAACACUGAGAAAUCGGUACUAAUACCGCAUAACACUAUGAGAGGCAUCUCUUGUGGUUGAAAGUUUCGGCGGUUACAGAUGGGCACGCGUUGUAUUAGCUGGUUGGUAAGGUAACGGCUUACCAAGGCGACGAUACAUAGGGGGACUGAGAGGUUAACCCCCCACAUUGGUACUGAGACACGGACCAAACUCCUACGGAAGGCAGCAG